rnacentral:tRNA from 1 species
GGGAAUGUAGCUCAAUGGUUAGAGCAACCGGCUUUUAACCGGUAGGUUGUAGGUUCGAGUCCUACCAUUCCCA